GUAUAUCAAAGGUGCUAAGUAAGGAUAUACAGCUAGAAAAAGCAAUAUGCAUGGUAAAUUCUGGUUUAUGGUGCUAUUCAUUUCGUGUCGUUUAUCGUUUGCAAACUCCAGCAAUACAAGAUGCUAUAGUUCAACUGAUGGUGAAAUGGAGAAUUACGGUUUCUGUACGACACGAAUGUAUUGCCACAACGCUUCUUUGGUCCCUUCGAAUCCAGGAGAAUGCAGAAAUGGUGAAAAAUGCUGUGUACCUCACAUGUUAAGGCGAAAAAGCAGAGGUG